CUUCACAGAGGGCAUCUAGCACUAGUACAUAAGGAGAUAGGCCACUUGUUUGGCCCCUUAGGCUUGAGAGAGACCAGCUGAAAUUUAUUGGAGAUCACAUACUGCAAGGUCUUUUUCAGUCUGGUGUUUGGUGGAACUCAGUCUAUGAUCUAACUAUGAUGGUGAAAGAAAUAAAGACUGAGUUGGAAGGCUUAAGGACACUUGCUGCUACCCAACAAAGAAGACUUCGAGCUAUGAAAGAAAGUAUUAGGCACCAAGAAAAUGAACUCCAAGGAUCACUGCAGCAAAUUAAGGAACAAGGCUCUCAGUUGACUGCUUUUCUCUCCACUCUAGAUACCAAAGUCAGUCAACUUCUAGGAGACAAGGAGGCCGAUCAGCUUGGACCAUCUACUUAGGCCUGAAUGUUUAUUAGAUCAACCUUCUCCUGACCAAACCUGAAAUUCUAUGUCCAAAUGUUUUUCACAUUGUUUUGUAUUUCAUUUUGGACAAUCAUCUUCUGAUUAUAUGUAAACAUCGGUUGUAAAAUGUUUUGUUAUCAAUGAAAUGGAUGUUUCCUUUUCAAUGAACUGUGUCUUAAGUACAAUUUUUAUGUUUUGAUUAUCUCCAACUACUUUAAUACAUUCUUAAGUUAACAUGUUCUAAUAAAGUUAUAAAUUAAAAAGCUCUGAUACACUCUUAAGUCAAAAGGCUCUGAUAUAUUCUGAAAUUAACUUGCUCUGACACAUUUACGAAAUAAAAAAAAAACUAUGAUACACUUAUAUAUCUCAACAAGCUCUAAUACAUUUUUAAGUUAAAAUCAUCUGAAACUUUAACAGAAUAAUAUGCUCUGAUACAAUUACAAAUAUCAAAAGCUCUGUUACAUUAAUAAGGUAAAAAGCUCUAAUACAUUAACUCUGAUACAUUUACAAAUUGCUUUUGGUAUGGUGAUAAGCUAUGUUGGAUCAAGCAUGAGUUAAAAAGCUAUGAUACAUUUAAAAAGCUCUAAUAUUUUUAUAAGUCAAAAUGCUCUGAUACAUAAUCAACAAGGAUGAACAACUCUGUACAAAUAAUGCUCUAAAAUCUUGGCAGUGAAACUCCCACUGAACCUCCUAUUCAAUUUUGUAAUGAAUUAUUAUCAAUCUGAACCUCCUCUUCAAUUAUUCUCCUUAACUCUUGAUGCUUAAAUCAUGAUCUACAAGUAGAAAACUUUCUAACCCCUCACCCUUUUGUUGAUGACAAAAAGGGGGAGAAGUAAAAGAAUUUCAAAAAUUGGGGAGAAGUAAAAGAACUUCAAAAAGUGAAGAAGAAAACAGAUUGUUUUGGAAAUAAAAGAUAUCAAGAAUCUUAUUGAAGAAAAUCGAUAAAUGACAAAAGAUAGGGGGAGAAGCAUAAUUUACUUGAUCAUAUUAAGAAAGGGAGAGAUUUUCUCAUAAACAUACAGAAUUCACAUAUUGAAAGUCUUAAAACUUAAUAAUGCACAUAUUCUGAAUACUUCUUUGCUCUGAAUCUUAUUGCAAAAGUGCUCUCAUACUAAAUUUUAUUGAAUAUUCUGAAUUUUCUAAAUAUCCUUUUUGCUCUGAACCAUAUUGCAAAAAUGCUCUGAAUAUUAUUGCAAAAUUCUUUUAAACUCAAUAGUUUUAUCAUCAUCAAAAAGGGAAAGAUUGUUAAUCCUAAAGGAUGGAUUUUGAUGAUCACAAAAAUAAUUGAGUUAAAUAUGUACUCUAAAGAUGUUGGCUUAAAUGUGAAGAGUUAGAUCUCUAGAUGAAAGUUGCACUUACAAACUCCAAAGAAUUAAGAAAAACAAAAUCAAGAAACUUGAAAAUUCUAUUUGUAAACUGAAUGAGCCGACCCUUGUGUUUAAAGAGUCGACCCCUAUGUAGUUCAAGAGAAACAGAGAAGAAUCACCGCGUGAGACCAACUAGAUGAGCCGACUCUUGUGUUUAAGAAGGCGACUCAAUAUCUACAUGAGCCGACCCCCGACAUUGAAGAGUCGACCCUUAAGACUAGCGCAAGAAACCUGUAUGAACUGAAGAAGUGAGCCGACCCUUGUACUUAAAGAGCCGACCCAUCUCU
rnacentral:lncRNA from 1 species